AUUGAACGCUGGCGGCAUGCUUUACACAUGCAAGUCGAACGGUAACAGGGAGCUUGCUCCGCUGACGAGUGGCGAACGGGUGAGUAAUGCGUCGGAACGUGCCGAGUAGUGGGGGAUAACGCAUCGAAAGGUGUGCUAAUACCGCAUACGUACUGAGGUAGAAAGUGGGGGACCUUCGGGCCUCACGCUAUUCGAGCGGCCGGCGUCUGAUUAGCUAGUUGGUGAGGUAAAGGCUCACCAAGGCGACGAUCAGUAGCGGGUCUGAGAGGAUAAUCCGCCACACUGGGACUGAGACACGGCCCAGACUCCUACGGGAGGCAGCAGUGGGGAAUUUUGGACAAUGGGCGCAAGCCUGAUCCAGCCAUGCCGCGUGUCUGAAGAAGGCCUUCGGGUUGUAAAGGACUUUUGUCCGGGAGCAAAUGCUGGUGGCUAACAUCCACCGGAGCUGAGAGUACCGGAAGAAUAAGCACCGGCUAACUACGUGCCAGCCGCCGCGGUAACAC
rnacentral:rRNA from 1 species